rnacentral:rRNA from 1 species
CAGUCAUACCAACGGGAAAUCAACCUCUUGAGUUUGGUCUUGUGGGUUUCGAAGAGUUUAAAAGCCUUCGGAUUUGCGAGGAUUGGGCUCUUUUGGUGUACUUUCUCGUACGGUUAGUCAACAUCGGUUUUGAAUGUCAUAAAAUGACUGGAGGAAUGUGGCUUCGAUCUCGUAUUGAAGUGUUAUAGCCUUUGGUAGAUGUGAUGUUCGAGACCGAGGAUUGCAACGGAUACCCUUCUGGGCUAUUCGUCUGAUCUCUGAUACGUUGCCUUGACGUCGAAAGCUCGCUUAUGAUGUUAGGGUAUUACGGUCAAAAGGUUAGAACGGAUUAAA